rnacentral:lncRNA from 1 species
AAUUCAAGAUACAUUGUGGCCCAGGCACAGUGGAGUGGGGGGAGCAGCUGUGGAAGACUCCAAGGGCAGGGCACCUCCAGGGCCCCUAAAGCCCUGGCCAGGGAGAGAACCUUACAGAGGAGGAGGUCACCGCCUCCCACACAGUCUGGACUCCCCCGUAAGCCCAAGGAUCCUAGCCAGCUCGGUCACCCCCAUCCCCUCAGGCACCCACUCCGCUGGGCCCCGCCAGACAGCGGCCUCAGUUUACCCUUGGACCUUGAGCAGAAGGGAAGGUUGCGGGGCCACGCAGGACCGCACCCAGGGAGGGACCGGGGCCUCUGGUUUCUUGGCCCCCAACCCCAGCGGAGGCGGGAGGGGGAGGGGAGAGGGUUACGUAACGCGCGGCGCGGGGGGCGGGGCGGGGCGGGGAAGGGCAGCCAAUGGGGGCGGCCCCUCCUAGGAAUAGCCUGGCUGUUCCGUCCUCAGUCACCAGAACAGCCCCCUCCGCGCCCGUCCAGCCCGCGCGUGCUGCGCGUGGGGGCGGGGGACGAGCGGACACCUGGGGAGAGCGUGGCUGGGAGCCGGCGGCGCGUGCGCAGGGGCCGAGGCUGCUCCCCGGCGGGCGAGCCUCCCAGCCCAGAGGCCCCCGCUAGCUCCCCGGGACCGGCGUUCGGCGCCCCGAGCCUCCUUCCCAGGUCCCGGCUCCCACAGCCCCUCUGCGCUCCCGCCGGUCAGGUGACGUCACACCUCGCGGCCCGGAGCCCCCGCCCUCCUCCUCCAAGGUCACCCGGGACCCACGGGAGCUCCGGGCCCGCGCCGCCCCUUCCCCGCCGAGCGCGUCUGCCUCCCCCGCUCCCCGGCGGCGGUUCCCGCCUCCCUCCGCUCGCACUUACUUCAUCCGGCCUGGCCUCGCUGUUAUUUAUAUCCGCGUCUGGCUCCCCAGCAGACGGCUGUGACGGGAGGCGACAGCGGGGCCGGCCUGGGGGCCCGCACGCCUGCCGUGUGCAGCAAAUGCCGGCGGGCCGGGGGUCCGCCUUUGGCCAGCAGACGGAGGGAGCCCCUUGCCAAAGCCCCUAG